CCUGCUUGGCGUUGGUUGUCCAAGUUUAAGGUGGUAGGCUGAGAUCUUAGGUAAAUCCGGGAUCUUAAGGCCGAGAGCUGAUGACGAGUGUCCUUUAGGACACGAAGUGGUUGAUGCCAUGCUUCCAAGAAAAGCUUCUAAGCUUCAGGUAACCAGGAACCGUACCCCAAACCGACACAGGUGGUUGGGUAGAGAAUACCAAGGCGCUUGAGAGAACUCGGGUGAAGGAACUAGGCAAAAUGGCACCGUAACUUCGGGAGAAGGUGCGCCGGUGAGGGUGAAGCAUUUACUGCGUAAGCCCACGCCGGUCGAAGAUACCAGGCCGCUGCGACUGUUUAUUAAAAACACAGCACUCUGCAAACACGAAAGUGGACGUAUAGGGUGUGACGCCUGCCCGGUGCCGGAAGGUUAAUUGAUGGGGUUAGCUAACGCGAAGCUCUUGAUCGAAGCCCCGGUAAACGGCGGCCGUAACGAUAACGGUCCUAAGGUAGCGAAAUUCCUUGUCGGGUAAGUUCCGACCUGCACGAAUGGCGUAACGAUGGCGGCGCUGUCUCCACCCGAGACUCAGUGAAAUUGAAAUCGCUGUGAAGAUGCAGUGUAUCCGCGGCUAGACGGAAAGACCCCGUGAACCUUUACUAUAGCUUUGCACUGGACUUUGAAUUUGCUUGUGUAGGAUAGGUGGGAGGCUUUGAAGCGUGGACGCCAGUCUGCGUGGAGCCAACCUUGAAAUACCACCCUGGCAACUUUGAGGUUCUAACUCAGGUCCGUUAUCCGGAUCGAGGACAGUGUAUGGUGGGUAGUUUGACUGGGGCGGUCUCCUCCUAAAGAGUAACGGAGGAGUACGAAGGUGCGCUCAGACCGGUCGGAAAUCGGUCGUAGAGUAUAAAGGCAAAAGCGCGCUUGACUGCGAGACAGACACGUCGAGCAGGUACGAAAGUAGGUCUUAGUGAUCCGGUGGUUCUGUAUGGAAGGGCCAUCGCUCAACGGAUAAAAGGUACUCCGGGGAUAACAGGCUGAUACCGCCCAAGAGUUCAUAUCGACGGCGGUGUUUGGCACCUCGAUGUCGGCUCAUCACAUCCUGGGGCUGAAGCCGGUCCCAAGGGUAUGGCUGUUCGCCAUUUAAAGUGGUACGCGAGCUGGGUUUAGAACGUCGUGAGACAGUUCGGUCCCUAUCUGCCGUGGACGUUUGAGAUUUGAGAGGGGCUGCUCCUAGUACGAGAGGACCGGAGUGGACGAACCUCUGGUGUUCCGGUUGUCACGCCAGUGGCAUUGCCGGGUAGCUAUGUUCGGAAUAGAUAACCGCUGAAAGCAUCUAAGCGGGAAACUAGCCUCAAGAUGAGAUCUCACUGGAACCUUGAGUUCCCUGAAGGGCCGUCGAAGACUACGACGUUGAUAGGUGGGGUGUGUAAGCGCUGUGAGGCGUUGAGCUAACCCAUACUAAUUGCCCGUGAGGCUUGAUC
rnacentral:rRNA from 1 species